rnacentral:rRNA from 1 species
GAUGAACGCUGGCGGCGUGCCUAAUACAUGCAAGUCGAGCGAACGGACGAGAAGCUUGCUUCUCUGAUGUUAGCGGCGGACGGGUGAGUAACACGUGGAUAACCUACCUAUAAGACUGGGAUAACUUCGGGAAACCGGAGCUAAUACCGGAUGAUAUUUGAACCGCAUGGCUCAAAAGUGAAAGACGGUCUUGCUGUCACUUAUAGAUGGAUCCGCGCUGCAUUAGCUAGUUGGUAAGGUAACGGCUUACCAAGGCAACGAUGCAUAGCCGACCUGAGAGGGUGAUCGGCCACACUGGAACUGAGACACGGUCCAGACUCCUACGGGAGGCAGCAGUAGGGAAUCUUCCGCAAUGGGCGAAAGCCUGACGGAGCAACGCCGCGUGAGUGAUGAAGGUCUUCGGAUCGUAAAACUCUGUUAUUAGGGAAGAACAUAUGUGUAAGUAACUGUGCACAUCUUGACGGUACCUAAUCAGAAAGCCACGGCUAACUACGUG